rnacentral:rRNA from 1 species
GACGGAGGGUGCUAGCGUUGUUCGGAAUGACUGGGCGUAAAGGGCGCGUAGGCGGCCACUUGCGUCGGAUGUGAAAGCCCGGGGCUCAACCCCGGAACGGCAUCCGAUACGGGGUGGCUGGAGACCGAGAGAGGUGAGUGGAAUACCCAGUGUAGAGGUGAAAUUCGUAGAUAUUCGGAAGAACACCAGUGGCGAAGGCGGCUCACUGGUCCGGUACUGACGCUGAGGUGCGAAAGCGUGGGGAGCAAACAGG